AGAGAAUCACUUGAACCCGGGAGGUGGAGGUUGCAGAGAGCCGAGAUCACUCCAUUGCACUCCAGCCUGGGCAACAGAG
rnacentral:snRNA from 1 species